rnacentral:rRNA from 1 species
GGAAACGGCGUCUAAUACUGGAUACGAACCACGAAGGCAUCUUCAGUGGUUGGAAAGAAUUUCGGUUGGGGAUGGGCUCGCGGCCUAUCAGCUUGUUGGUGAGGUAAUGGCUCACCAAGGCGUCGACGGGUAGCCGGCCUGAGAGGGUGACCGGCCACACUGGGACUGAGACACGGCCCAGACUCCUACGGGAGGCAGCAGUGGGGAAUAUUGCACAAUGGGCGGAAGCCUGAUGCAGCAACGCCGCGUGAGGGAUGACGGCCUUCGGGUUGUAAACCUCUUUUAGCAGGGAAGAAGCGAAAGUGACGGUACCUGCAGAAAAAGCGCCGGCUAACUACGUGCCAGCAGCCGCGGUAAUACGUAGGGCGCAAGCGUUAUCCGGAAUUAUUGGGCGUAAAGAGCUCGUAGGCGGUUUGUCGCGUCUGCUGUGAAAUCCCGAGGCUCAACCUCGGGCCUGCAGUGGGUACGGGCAGACUAGAGUGCGGUAGGGGAGAUUGGAAUUCCUGGUGUAGCGGUGGAAUGCGCAGAUAUCAGGAGGAACACCGAUGGCGAAGGCAGAUCUCUGGGCCGUAACUGACGCUGAGGAGCGAAAGGGUGGGGAGCAAACAGGCUUAGAUACCCUGGUAGUCCACCCCGUAAACGUUGGGAACUAGUUGUGGGGUCCAUUCCACGGAUUCCGUGACGCAGCUAACGCAUUAAGUUCCCCGCCUGGGGAGUACGGCCGCAAGGCUAAAACUCAAAGGAAUUGACGGGGACCCGCACAAGCGGCGGAGCAUGCGGAUUAAUUCGAUGCAACGCGAAGAACCUUACCAAGGCUUGACAUAUACGAGAACGGGCCAGAAAUGGUCAACUCUUUGGACACUCGUAAACAGGUGGUGCAUGGUUGUCGUCAGCUCGUGUCGUGAGAUGUUGGGUUAAGUCCCGCAACGAGCGCAACCCUCGUUCUAUGUUGCCAGCACGUAAUGGUGGGAACUCAUGGGAUACUGCCGGGGUCAACUCGGAGGAAGGUGGGGGAUGACGUCAAAUCAUCAUGCCCCUUAUGUCUUGGGCUUCACGCAUGCUACAAUGGCCGGUACAAAGGGCUGCAAUACCGUGAGGUGGAGCGAAUCCCAAAAAGCCGGUCCCAGUUCGGAUUGAGGUCUGCAACUCGACCUCAUGAAGUCGGAGUCGCUAGUAAUCGCAGAUCAGCAACGCUGCGGUGAAUACGUUCCCGGGUCUUGUACACACCGCCCGUCAAGUCAUGAAAGUCGGUAACACCUGAAGCCGGUGGCCUAACCCUUGUGGAGGGAACCGUCAAAGGGGGACCGUAAUUAG